GAAAAAACAAAAAGAGAGAUGAGAGCAGCUUCUUCUUCACCACUAAUCUCGUUCUUCCUCCUCCUCGUCGUUCCAUCUUCAUCCUUCUUCAGAUAAAAUGGGUGCAGGACAAUGUUGAAUACCAUAGAAUCAGAGCAUUUGACAGCUUAAGUUUCUCGAGCAUGAAUUCAUUGCUGAUUACUACUAAACCAUCGACAGUUUGUCAAAUAUUAUGAAAGCUCAGGCUUCUGGUAUAGUGGUAGUAUGUCGUCGAUGUGUACAUGAAGUCUCUUAAAGCCUUAUGUCACCAAUUAGGCAAGACUUUGUUUGGCUAUCAUGAAGCUGUGAGAUGCAAGUGUCUGCUGCACAAUCGAGAGAAUGAUUGACAGUAGCUUGAUCUGUAGAUAAAUGACUUGUUCUAGACAAAUAUGGAUGGAACAGACAGUGACUAAGAAGAUUUCAAUCCCAAUGAUACAUUAUUCUAGCAAAAACGUCUGAAGUAUCACAGUGAAAUAAUCUGCGAUACUGCACCUUUAAAUGCGAACAAAGACAAUUCAAUUGACUCGAGAACAGGUACCUGAUAUCUGUUGUUCCCUGACGUUAAAAUUCGCAACUCGUUGACAACCAAAUCAAUUCUCAUUUAUAUAAGGUUA